rnacentral:miRNA from 14 species
CCCGGGAGCGGGGGGCCACCAGGUUGCCUAAGGAGGGGUGAACCGGCCCAGGUCGGAAAAC